CUAGGGUUCUCAGACUUUAAUGUAAGCAAGAGUCAACUGUGGUGUUUGAUCAAAUGCAGAUUCCUGGACCUGACUCUAGACCUCCUGAAUGAGAAACUAUUGGGAUGGGUCACUGAUAAUGAUGGUCUACAUGGUAUCUUUAAAAGACAAGAAUCAAGGAAAAAAAAAAAUGAAAUGAAGACAUACCAGGUUAAAAAGGUUUUCUUUUGGGAUGUCCAUAGGGAACAAGAACUUUGGAAGAACAAGGUUGCUUGACUGACAAGAAGGACACCUUAGCAAAAAUGUAUACUAUAUAUUUUGUAGAUGUUUCACAGUCCAAUUAUAGACCAAAAGAAGAAAAUAGAUCAAGCAGAACUUCUCAGCAAUCAGCAAUGAAAUAGGCUAUCCUAGAAGACUGGGAGUUCUCCCAUCACUGGAAGUUCAAGUAAUCUACAAGACAUUUUGUGGACAUAUUAUCUCACGUCCCUUUGGUACAUAUAUAUAUAUAUUUUUAUAUAUAUAUAUAUGUAAUUUAUAUGAGUUCUAUUAAUAGUUGCUGCACACUCUCUUCAACAAUUGGAACUGUUAGUCUUUUUAAUGUUAGGCAUUCUGGUGGGUAUGGAGUGGUAUCUCACUGGUUUUAAUAUGUAUUUCUAUAAAAAAUGAUUAUGUUGAGCCUUUUUUGUGUGCUUAUUGGCCAUUUUAAUUUUCUUCUCCAAAAUGUCCAUUUAAGAUGUUUCUCUAUUUUCUGAACUUUUCAUUAUUAAAGUAUAGGAGUUUCUAAUUUAUCUUUGAUACCAAUUCUUUGUCAGAUAUAUGUUAUGUGAAUAUUUCUUUCCCAGUCUAUCACUUAUCUAUUUACUUAAUGAUGUAUUUUAAAGGGAAAUUUCUUAUUUCAAUGAAGUCUAAUACAUGAUUAUUUUCUCUCAUGAUUAUUAUUUCUGUGUCCUGUGGAAGAAAUAUUUCUGACAUCUAAGUGGUACUCCUAUCUCCUUUUAGAAUAUUUCUAAUUUAAUCAUUGACAUUCAGAUUUAUAAUCCAGCUCAAAUAAAUUUAUGAGUAUGGUGUAAGGUAGGGGUCAAAGUUCAUUUAUUUCCUUUGUGCUCGUACUGGCUUUUGUCAAGACUGAUUUUCUUAUGGAUUGCUUUGGUGUCUUUGUCAAAAAUCAAAUGAUCAUAUAAAUGUGGGUCUAUUUCUAAAUUCAUUAUUUUGAUCCAUUUGCCAUUGUGUUGAUCAUUAUCCAAUACCACACUGUCCUGUAACUUUAUAGUAAGGCUUGGCAUUGGACAGUAUUUGUCUUCCAAUGUUAUUCUUUUUGAAGAUUGCUUUAGCUGUCCUAAGUCAUUUUCAUUUCUAUUUCCAUAUAAAUUUUAGAAUUGGCUUGCCAAUUUCUACAAAUAGCCUAUUGGAAUUAUGAUUGGUAUUAUAUUGAUUCUAUAGAUCAUUUGGGGGAGAACUGAUAUCUAAGCAAUA
rnacentral:lncRNA from 1 species